rnacentral:sRNA from 1 species
UAUUCUGCCCUACAGGGAAGGAUGAGAAGCUUCGACUAAGGUUCGACUCGAGCGAAGCGAGAGAACGUUGCCGCAGGCAACGGCCCGAAGGGCGAGG